UACGUAGGGUGCGAGCGUUAAUCGGAAUUACUGGGCGUACAGUGUGCGCAGGCGGCCGCGCAAGUCGAGUGUGAAAGCCCCGGGCUUAACUUGGGAAUUGCGCUCGAAACUACGUGGCUAGAGUGUGGCAGAGGGAGGUGGAAUUCCACGUGUAGCGGUGAAAUGCGCAGAUAUCAGGAGGAACACCGGUGGCGAAGGCGGGUCUCUGGGCCGAUACUGACGCUGAGGAGCGAAAGCGUGGGGAGCGAACAGG
rnacentral:rRNA from 1 species